rnacentral:rRNA from 1 species
ACACUCCUGCGGGAGGCAGCAGUGGGGAAUUUUGGACAAUGGGCGAAAGCCUGAUCCAGCAAUGCCGCGUGCAGGAUGAAGGCCUUCGGGUUGUAAACUGCUCUUGUACGGAACGAAAAAGCUCCUUCUAAUACAGGGGGCCCAUGACGGUACCGUAAGAAUAAGCACCGGCUAACUACGUGCCAGCAGCCGCGGUAAUACGUAGGGUGCGAGCGUUAAUCGGAAUUACUGGGCGUAAAGCGUGCGCAGGCGGUUAUGUAAGACAGAUGUGAAAUCCCCGGGCUCAACCUGGGAACUGCAUUUGUGACUGCAUGGCUAGAGUACGGUAGAGGGGGAUGGAAUUCCGCGUGUAGCAGUGAAAUGCGUAGAUAUGCGGAGGAACACCGAUGGCGAAGGCAAUCCCCUGGACCUGUACUGACGCUCAUGCACGAAAGCGGGGGGAGCAAACAGGAUGAGAAACCCUAGUAGUCCCAUGA